GGGUAGAGAUGUAGCAUCAAACAUUCACGGAUGUCCAGGGAGCACGGGCACACAGGCUGCUGGCCAGAGGUACUAGGAAGGUACAGGCGGGAGUUCGACGAGGACGCACCUUCCCCUGUCUUGGAAAGACUAUUAUGAGCACAAUACACUAGUCAUGUCGGAGAUAACAGCCUGACCUCAGCGUGGCUGCAAAAUGAAGCCACUUUUGGCUUUCCUAAGCCAUCAGGAGGCUGCUCACAGCGCUGCUGGACUCUUUAAGCCCUGAGGUCAUGUGAAAAGAAGUUUGCCCUGUGUCCUUCUGUCUCCUGUUGGCUGUCCACAAAAUGGAGAAGGCGGAAGCAACCUGAGGCGUCCUCUUUGUCUGUAAAGAUAGAGAGUCCAUUGUGGAAGGGGGAGAUACAGGAACUAUAUAGGCGAGGCUCUACCGGACUGCAUCUCUUAUCUCCAGAAUUCUUUUACAGAAAAGAAAAAAAUAAACUUUUAUCUGGCUUAAGCC
ensembl:lincRNA Lockd lncRNA downstream of Cdkn1b